rnacentral:rRNA from 1 species
AUUGAACGCUGGCGGCAGGCCUAACACAUGCAAGUCGAACGCGUGGCGGACGGGUGAGUAAUGUCUGGGAAACUGCACGAUGGAGGGGGAUAACUACUGGAAACGGUAGCUAAUACCGCAUACCAUCAGAUGUGCCCAGAUGGGAUUAGCUAGUAUGUGGGGUAACGGCUCACCUAGGCGACGAUCCCUAGCUGGUCUGAGAGUAUGACCAGCCACACGGGAACUGAGACACGGUCCAGACUCCGACGUGAGGCAGCAGUGGGGAAUAUUGCACAAUGGGCGCAAGCCUGAUGCAGCCAUGCCGCGUGUAUGAAGAAGGCCUUCGGGUUGUAAAGUACUUUCAGCGAGGAGGCGUUACUCGCAGAAGAAGCACCGGCUAACUCCGUGCCAGCAGCCGCGGUAAUAC